rnacentral:rRNA from 1 species
GACGAACGCUGGCGGCGUGCUUAACACAUGCAAGUCGAACGGAAAGGCCUGCUUUCCCUUGUGGAUUGCGGGUACUCGAGUGGCGAACGGGUGAGUAACACGUGAGUGGUCUGCCCCCAACUUGGGUAUAAGCCUGGGAAACUGGGUCUAAUUCCCGAUAGGACUGCAGGGUGGUGCCUGUGGUGGAAAACGAUUUUCUAGUGGUUGGGGAUGAGCUCGCGGCCUAUCAGCUUGUUGGUGGGGUAAUGGCCUACCAAGGCGGCGACGGGUAGCCGGCCUGAGAGGGUGGACGGCCACAUUGGGACUGAGAUACGGCCCAGACUCCUACGGGAGGCAGCAGGGGGGAAUAUUGCACAAUGGGCGGAAGCCUGAUGCAGCGACGCCGCGUGGGGGAUGACGGCCUUCGGGUUGUAAACUCCUUUCGACCGCGAGGAAGCCACCUGGUUGGAAGGGUGGUGACGGUAGUGGUAGAAGAAGCACCGGCUAACUACGUG